ACCAUCCUUUUCUUGGGGUUGCACUACUGUCCAAUGGGUACCUAGUGAGGGCAGUACUGCUAACUCCUGCACAACACACCGAAAUCAACUAGAGCUUUGCUUUGCCUUGGUGCAGUUUUUGGAGAA
rnacentral:ncRNA from 1 species